CUCUCUCUCUGCCCGUCCCCUGCUCACACUCUCAAAAAUAAACAUUUAAAAAAAAAUAGAGAAAUGAAUGAUUAAGCUAAAAAAAUACUCAGUUUAAAAAAAAAUACUAGAUGGGAAUAGGGAAAUAGAGGAGACUAAAAAAUAGGUCCAAGACCUGUUUUAACACCCUGCCCCACUGACCUGUAAGCAUAGCCCAGGAAUUCUCUGGUUUUAACCAAUUAGGUGAUCUGUUCCUCGCUUGGGAAACAAAGAUAAUGUCAGAGCAAAAGAGUUCAACACCUAAGAAAAGUGGUAAUAAGGAUAAAAUUUUCUCCAACCCAGUAACAAUUUUAUAGGAAAUGUGAUGGGGAUAUUCAAACGCAUUUUUAUUUCUCAUAGCCAAUACAGGCCGCAUGGAAGACACAAGAUCUGAAAGGAUAGAUGGGUGUUAACUGGGUCCUGAUUCAGAGCCGCUCCUACCCUGUGAGUCACACCUUUUGCCAUCCAUGAGAUGUGGUCAUCACACAGAGUCAGGUCUGGCUUCUUCAGCCCUUCUCUUCAGGAUUAUCUGCCUCCCUUCCUGCUAUGUAAUGCCCUUCGCUGUCAAACCCAAGAAGAUCAAUGGGGAUGGUGUGUUUCCUGGCAUAGUUCUGCUGGGCACCAGUCAGGAAGGCUUGUGUGAAGAAGAAGCCAGAAAGCCAGAAGACUGGAGGAGGGCCAACCUCAUACCAUUGCUACAGUGUCAAAGCACAAGUGUUCUCAGGCUAGAGCCUUUCAACUUCAAAUACAACACUGCUUAAUAAAAUUUACUCCCCAAUGCUCCCCCUUAUUAUCUUUUAGGUAGAUUAAUAAAUGAGCUAACACUUUGAGGAAUAAAAAGCUAUACUGUCAA